AGUGCAUCUCGUACCAUCAUGUGUGAUCCUGAUUGAAAUAAUACAGUUUUCACUUUGCUCGUUUCAGUCAGGUGUCUCGUCAGUUGUCUCGUCAGUUUGUGGAAAAGAAAUGCAUCGAAGACCACGCGUGAAACAAUCUGCGCAGCAAACAUAAACCCGGCUGGACCCACCGACAAUGUGUGUGUACGCGAAACAAUGUGUUCGACGGGAUGCCUCUAUACCGCCACCAACGCAGACC